rnacentral:sRNA from 1 species
ACCGGGCCUGGUGGUGCAGGCCUGUAACCCCAGCAUCUCUGGGGGCUGAGGCAGGAGGAUCCAAGUUCAAGGAGGGCCUCACCCACUUAGUGAGUCCCUAAGCAACUUAGACCUUGCCUCAG